UCGCUUGGGCUUCUCUUUAUCACGUACAAAUCUUUCGCCUUUUACUAAAGAUUUCCGUGGAGAGGGGCGUCAACAAGCUCACAAUAUUUUUGGGGGCUCUGUUUUGACAGAGCU
ensembl:snRNA U5 U5 spliceosomal RNA